UACGGAGGGUGCAAGCGUUAUCCGGAUUCACUGGGUUUAAAGGGUGCGUAGGUGGCUAUAUAAGUCAGUGGUGAAAGCCCGCGGCUCAACCGUGGAAUUGCCAUUGAAGCUGCAUAGCUUGAGUACAGUUGAAGUGGGCGGAAUACAUCAUGUAGCGGUGAAAUGCUUAGAUAUGACAUAGAACACCGAUAGCGAAGGCAGCUUGCUACACAAUAAUUGACGCUGAGGCACGAAAGCGUGGGGAUCAAACAGG
rnacentral:rRNA from 1 species